AACGAACGCUGGCGGCAUGCCUAACACAUGCAAGUCGAACGAGACCUUCGGGUCUAGUGGCGCACGGGUGCGUAACGCGUGGGAACCUUCCCUUAGGUUCGGAAUAACUCCCCGAAAGGGGUGCUAAUACCGGAUAAUGUCUUCGGACCAAAGAUUUAUCGCCUUUGGAUGGGCCCGCGUUGGAUUAGCUAGUUGGUAGGGUAAAAGCCUACCAAGGCGACGAUCCAUAGCUGGUCUGAGAGGAUGAUCAGCCACACUGGGACUGAGACACGGCCCAGACUCCUACGGGAGGCAGCAGUGGGGAAUAUUGGACAAUGGGCGAAAGCCUGAUCCAGCAAUGCCGCGUGAGUGAUGAAGGCCGUAGAGUUGUAAAGCUCUUUUACCCGGGAUGAUAAUGACAGUACCGGGAGAAUAAGCUCCGGCUAACUCCGUG
rnacentral:rRNA from 1 species